rnacentral:lncRNA from 1 species
GGAAGCCGGGGAGGGGGCGGCCGCCCGAGCUGGGGCGAGGGGGUCCCUGCGUCCAGGGUCCGGCGCACUGGAUGCACGCGGGGGGGGGGUGCGUCCUCAGUGGGGCUCUGGAGCCCUGAAAGGUGGCACCACAGGACCGCGCCUCCCCUAGCCCGGCGUGCAGAUGGGGGAGCAGUCCCCCACCCCAGAGCUGGGCGGAGAAAGCGGGCCGGCGGGGGCCGGUCCCCGGCGCAGGGGAGAAGGGCCCGGGGCGAGGAGUCUCACCUCCGUGGGUCCCGGCUGGACACUCCACGCGGAGCUCCGGCGGAGCCCCCGGCUGGGCGCGGGGCUGGCGCCCGGCGCGGCGAGGACGCCUGGGCCUUUCCUGCUCCUCCACCCCCACCCAGUUUCCGGAUGCUUCCGGAGCGCUUGGGACCCCACAAACAGAAGCCUGGGGAGUCCACCUGGAGAAAUCCCCUUUAUAGCCAGAGUCUCUCGGAGGAAACUCAAAUUUCCCGUUUGUUCCUGCCGGGUGGAGGCGAAGGGGAAGGAGGAGCAGGGGGCAGUCCAAAACCUAGCCUGGAAGAGGAAUUGAAAGGUCGCACCCAGCAGUCGAGAGCAACACCUGGAAUGGAGCAGCUAUGCAAAUUCUAGCCCGGCACCCGCGGGACCCGAACAUCUCCACAGUCACUGCCCGCGUCUGGCGGUCGGUCGCGGUCGCAGUUUGGUCCUCAAAAGAGCCCAGGACUCGCGGGCCCUGCGCUGGUGCCCUCUGCCUGCGCCCUGCCCCAGCUCUGAGGCGGGAACAGCUCUGCACUCACCGCCCUGCGAACUUCGCCGGCCGAGCGCCAGGCACUUUCGCUCUCUCCCCAAACCCCACCCUGUGACAGUUGGGCAAGUAAGGCUCGACCUACAGCUAGAAAGCAGCAGGGUGACGAACGCAUUUCCUCCUCUGAUGCCACCGCCCCCAAGCUCCGUUGUUGCAAACCCAACCCUAGGGCUGGGCAUUUAGCUCAGUGAUGCUGCGCAAGGUCCUGAGUUCAAUCUCCACAACUGGGGGCGCGGGGGGGGGGCACCCCAGCCAUGAGGGCUCAGGUAAAAGUAGGAUUUGCUAGAAGUAAAAAAAUUGCUGAAGACGAACUCUUCUCCUUUAAGGCCAUCCCCCUCAAAGCUCCCUUUUGUGGACAAUGAUGAUGCUUCUGGAUUUUAAAAAAUACGCUCAGGGGCUGGGGUUUUAGCACAGUGGUCCUGCUGCCUGCCUUGUAAGAGCAAGGUCCCGAGUUCCAGCCAAAUAAAUAAAUAAAUAAAUAAAUAAAUAAAUAAAAUACAAUCGAAAUUAAAUCUCUCCUCCUUAAAAAGAAAAAAAAAAGAAAUACAAUCAAAAGGCGAAAGAAAUGUCAAUGGAACUAAAAAUGAAUGUUGAACUUGAGACAGCACAGCAGGCCCCAUCCCCCGGCCCUCACCCACACCCCGGACUCCAGGGACCCAGCUGCAGGGGCCUAGGGCCUGUGCCUAGAAGCUGACAGCCACAGGCCUCCGUCUACCAUUUAGCUCCGCCCACCCCCAGGAGCGGCCAGAGGGAUUGCCCAAGUGACAGAAGUGACAGGAACAGGAACAGGGAGGAAUACAAGAUCCCCUCUGAUAACGGAAAGCAUCCCUGGGCAUCCGUGACCUCACCCCGCCCUUUUUCAAGGAGGUUCUCCAAGGCCGAACGCCCCACUCUGUUUGCUUGUGAUUGUUUUCCUUGAUAACUUGUGAGCUCCAGUAGGAUGUUUAUCCGCGUUAUCACAGU